UCCAACUUAAAGGUCUGUAUUAAGUUCCUCUGUCUCGGUCUCCCUUUGUGUUUGGUGACUCCUUGUGUAACAGGCGGUGCUACACAACGACCGAUCCACUCUCCUCCGGACCUGGGUUCAUUGGCGCUGUAGAGCACAUUGGGAGAGGGAGGAGAAGGAGAAACAUGAAGCUGCUGAGGUUCUGUACCUGCACACACUGCUCCAGAGGACUCUGCUGGAUUGGAGGGGCAACGUUGCCCUCAUCCAAUCAGGGAGAGAGAGGGAGAAGCAGGCAAUGAGGCAUGGCCAUCUUCUGUGUGUUAGACGGGCCUUUUCUGGCUGGAGAGAGUUUAUCCAACACCAGAGAGAGAAGACAAGAAAUCGGUGCAGGGUCGACUGCUACUACCAGCACAAACUGCUGAUACGCACACUGGAUGGCUGGAAGAGGUACCACCACAGAGUCCAGCUGACCAACCACGUUGCAGAAGGGCGUGAAAGAGAGCACCAUCGCCGC